GGACUUUCUUAUAUACAUUGUUUCCCAAAAGGUUACCACCCACGUGGACCUUGUGGUACACAGGACACAAAGUUACAACAGCCAAUCAACAUAGUACAGUACAGUCAGACACUCCCAGCUAAGGCACACAAUACCCUCCCAUAACCCUCCCAUAAGUCAUAUAAUACAAUGUUUAACCUAUAUGUCCAACAUAUCCCCAGAUAGCUUGGAUCUGAGCUCUCAAUAUGUCCGAAAAGCGCUCAUAUGCCACGAAUACAGUUGGAUCGCCAUGGGGUUAAACAAUAGAAAGGGCUGAUGAGAGAAUGAGGAGGGACAAGGCAGCCAGUUUCAACUCGUCUGGCAGUGUACCUGAGACAAUGCCCCGCUGAAGAACAAUAGGACAGGAAAACGGGUAGUGGAAGAGGAAGAGGCACAUUUUCACAUGGAAUUAAAGGGGCAGAAAAAGUGUUUUAAAAAUCCAAUAAGCCCAAAUAGACUUUUUAAAUGGCAAUACACCCCAGGGGCCAUAAUCACAGGGCAGGAGGCUGGCAAGCAGGCCUCUCCAAAAACUCAUGGCAAACUCCCUUAAAAAGGAGAGUUUGUCACAAUGGUUAUGUACCAAUAUAUCAGUAUGACAAUUUGCACAGUUCUUUUCCCUUUUAGACAUGGCUAGAUUUCAUUUGACUUUUUAUUUUGUAUUCUUUAUACAAAUAACCAAAAACAGUGUAUUUGUUCAUUUGUAUUCCUUUCUCUGUUAUACCCACUGUAUAUAACAAAAUAGUUAGUACAUAUGACACAUGAAGGCUAUUUCCAUGUGAUAUAUGAUUUAGAUUUGCCAAGUUUGGUGGAAAUGUAGUGAAUUAUUUGAAUGAACACAUCUCAUUGUGUACAACCAUGUGCUUGGUUCAAUUUCACCUCCAGAAUAGAGUAUCAACAUUCUUAAUUUCAUGUACUUUUCCAAAAUGGUAUGUAGUCCGUAAAUCCUCAUGCACCUCAUUUAUAUUCUAGGAAUGAUUAAAAGCCAGUAGAGAACAUAUUUAUCAUUCAUGUAAUGUGGGCUGAAAAUGUCAACUCACCCUCUCCUUCCAAAUAGUAUAGGACGUUUCAGUAGAUGGUGCCAUUGACUGAAUGAGCUCUGCCAUAUCACUGGUAGCAAUUAUAUUAGAAUUCCAGUGUGAUAGAGAUUGCUAUAGCACUUUUUAAAUACCUUUAUUUUAGGAAUAGAUGAUUUAACUAUAUUUAUACAUUAUUUUACAUUCUGUUGCUACCUUUGGUAAGAUGUACUGCUAGUAAUUUAUUCAAGUAACCUAAUGCUGGCCAUGAUAGAAAGGAGCCAGAACUGUUAUUGUACACACCAGCUGAUGACCCCUGUCAACCGCUGAAAGUUACUUCAUGGAAUAGGUGAGCUUCAGAACGGAUCAUCGAGGAAUGGAAUAAGGUUGCCUGGUCUGAUGAAUCAUGUUUUCUUUUAGAUCAGGUGGAUUGCCAGGUGCGUGUAUUGUUUACCUUGGGAAGAUAUGGCAGCAGGAUGCACUAUGGAAAGAAGGUCGGCAGUGACAGUGUUAUGCUCUAGGGUUAGGCAAUAUUUUGCUGGCAAAUCUUGGGUCCUGGUAUUCUUGUGUCUGGCUUUUUUUCUCUGGAUAAAAAGUGAGUAAAUUGUUUUAUUUUUAUGUAAUUUUUUUCUUUUAUACGGGGUGUGCAACCUAAUUGAUUAGGGGAAUCAGGGUUGUACCGUUAGGAAUACAGAUAUCUAUUUCUAAUGUUACAGUGUUCCUUUAUGUUUUUAGCAGUUUCAGUUACAGUAGCUCCUUAGGAACAUCAAUGAACCUUGAGUGCCCAUGACCCUAACACCAGUUCACUGUUUGCCCUUCCUUGCACCACUUUUGGUAGUUACUAACCACGGCAUGUUGGGAACAUGCACACAAGACUUGCUGUUUUGGAGAUGCUCUGACCCAGUCUUUUCGCUUGCUCAUUGUCACGACAGUGACCCCUUCACACAGAUGGUAACCCAGAAAGGGACGUAUACCGGACCUUAGGGUGGCCGGACUUAACGUCAAAGAAUAGUCAAGAAAAAGCCGAGGAUCAAGGGUGUACGGAAAUCGGGAUAAACGAGAAAGCCAAGCCAAAAGUCGAGGAGCCAGAUAGGAGAAUAGUCAGAACGAAAGCCAAGGGUCAAAAUACCAGAAGAACAGAUAAUACAGUAUAAGAGCACUAGGGGAACAAUCAAGAACCACACUAGGGCACUGAGGGGUGGACAGGGAUGCCCUUUUAUACUAAUGUGUGUGUCACUUUAAAGCCACGCCCCCAAAAGGUUCGGGAGCGUGACCGCGUUUUAAUUUUCGCAGCAAAAUCAUUAUGACAUCGGCGCGCAUGCACCGCGUCAUAAAACGGAUUUCGCCGCGAGCGGGCAGCGUCCAAGAGGCUGCGCCGCCCCCGGAAGCAGCCGGGCAAACCGCCGUGCCGCGCGGGAUCGGCGGACACAGGUAAGGUAUCGUUACACUCAUGCUUUUAGCUCAUGAAAUUCAAGAACUGACUGUCACUUGCUGCCUAAUAUAUCCCACCCCAUGACACGUGCCAUUGUAAGGAUAUAAUCAAUGUUAUUCACUUUACCUGUCAGUGGUUUUAAUGUUGUGACUGAUCAGUGUACAUGAAAUUCACGUAUAUUGUGAUAUACCUGUUUAAAAAGUGGCCAAUUCAGUGUAUGACACGUUUGCUAUGACUGCUCUGCUGGGUAUACUGUAAAAUCCAGGUUAACUUGGUAACUUUGGGGGUACCAUGUAUGUCAUUAUUUAUUUUAUGUUUAAUUUACGUUUAAGUGAAUAAAUAAUAAACCAUUUAGAAUUAUCACGUCUUUAAAAGAGAUAACAGGAAAUUAAUUUAUUAAAACUACAAUACAAAAUUUCAUAAUUUUGGAGAAAUAGAAAAAAUAUGUUUCUGAGUUUUAUUUGGUGUUUUUUCUAAUUCCCCUUAACCUAGUGCUACUUACAGUCUGUUAUCUGCUGAGAUCAAAACUUGUUUUUUUGCUUACCAGCGAUACUUAUUUUCUCUUGUAAACAGAUUCCAUUUUAAUCUGUGAAAUCCCUUACAUCAAGCAUGUCAAACUCAAAGGCUAACUCGGAACAAAAAAACAAGGUUUAAGUUUAUGUGGGCCGCAAAAAAUAAAAAAAAGUUUGACCUAGACAAAGACAAACUAAAAUUACAUGUAUAGUUCUCAUGUAAACAGUAUGUAAUCCUGGGUACAUAUAUAUAUAAUUCACUCAAAAGCUUCACCAAGUUACUUACUAUCUUUGUAAUAGUGCCACCAUCUGGCAUGUCCACUUUGCUCGCUCCCUCAGUCCCUCUGCAAUCUCCAGGCAGAGUAAUGUGUGGCUGCACACUCCAUUCCACUUGCUUCUAUCCUCCUUCCAUCCAUAUCUCUGUUCCCCUCCUUUCCAUCCAUGUCUCUGUUCUCCUCCCUUCCAUCCAUGCCUGCUUCCCUCCAUCUCUCCCUCCCUUCCAUAUCUCUCCCUCCCAUAUCUCUCCCCAUAUCUCUCCCUCCCAUAUCUCUCCCCCAUAUCUCUCCCUCCCUUCCAUAUCUCUCCCCCACAUCUCUCCCUCCCUUCCAUACCUCUCCCCCACAUCUCUGCUUCCUUUCCAUAUCUCUCCUCCACGUCUCUCCCUCCUUUCCUUGGCUCUCCCUUCCAUAUCUAACCCCGAUGUCUCAAUCCCCCUUUCAUCUAUGUCUACCCCACCCAUUCCAUCCAAGUCUCUCUCCCCCCAUUCCAUCCAAGUCUCUCUCUCCACCCCAUCUAUAUCUCUCUCCCCCACCCUUCAAUUCAUAUAUCCCCUCACAUUCAAAUCUCCCUAUCGCUCUUCCAUCCCUGUCUCCCUCACGCAUGUCUCCCUUCCUACAACUUCCAUUUAUAUCUCCCUCCUCCUGCUCUGGUAGGCAGCUGUUUUUCACAGAGCUGGCACCAGAGGUGAUGGAAGCACAGGUUUGGCGCUGCCUUGUUGAUAGAUGGCGUACGUUGUCAUACUGAGUGACGGGUAGUCACGUGACACCCUGCGCUCCUAUGCAGAGUGGGUGGGGGUGGUACUCCCCCCAGUGUUCUGUGCGUGCGGUUUCUUUAUGAAGCCAAAUGCUGCCUGGCGGCACAGGAAGCACAGGCCGAGGAGGAUGCAAAAAUCACUUGUCAGUUUGACAAAUGAUUGUUGCACCCCCCUGAUUGGCUGAGCCGCAAAUACAUUCUUUGUGGGCCCCAUGCAGCACGCAGGCUGCGAGUUUGACAUGCUUGCAUUACAUCAACAUUUUAAAGUAACGUGUGCAUUUGUUUUUGUAUUUAUAUAAUAGCCGGUAAUACUGCAUGUGUGAUUAUAUUGACUUAUAUUUUGUUAACUCGAGGGCAGAUAUUAAGGUAGAAAGAACAAAGAGUAUUGCUUUACAUUGCAUAAAGAUAAUAUUAUGAUUUAUG
rnacentral:lncRNA from 1 species